rnacentral:rRNA from 1 species
GACGAACGCUGGCGGCGUGCUUAAUACAUGCAAGUCGAGCGAGGUUACUGUUUCGGAUCCCUUCGGGGUGAAGAAGCUUUAACCUAGCGGCGGACGGGUGAGUAACGCGUGGGUAACCUACCCCAAAGUCCGGGAUAACAGCGGGAAACCGCUGCUAAUACCGGAUGCCUUUACCUUGGGGCAUCUUGAGGUAAAGAAAGGUAACGCUUUGGGAUGGGCCCGCGUCCCAUUAGCUAGUUGGUGAGGUAACGGCUCACCAAGGCGACGAUGGGUAGCCGGCCUGAGAGGGUGGACGGCCACACUGGGACUGAGACACGGCCCAGACUCCUACGGGAGGCAGCAGUAGGGAAUCUUGGGCAAUGGGCGAAAGCCUGACCCAGCGACGCCGCGUGGAGGAAGAAGUCCUUCGGGGCGUAAACUCCUGGACUGGGGGACGAGGAAGGACGGGUAACCCCAGUACGAAAGGGACGGCGUAACUAACGUGCCAGCAGCCGCGGUAAAGUACUCUAU